GCCUGGGUGGCUCAGUCGGUUGAGUGUCCGACUUCGGCUCCUGUCAUGAUCUCAUGGUUUGUGGGUUCGAGCCCCACGUCAGGCU
rnacentral:tRNA from 1 species